rnacentral:rRNA from 1 species
AGUCAGAUUGCAGGCUGCAACCCGCCUGCAUGAAGUCGGAAUUGCUAGUAAUCGCGGAUCAGCAUGCCGCGGUGAAUACGUUCCCGGGCCUUGUACACACCGCCCGUCACACCAUGGGAGCCGGUAAUACCCGAAGUCAGUAGUCCAACCUCGUGAGGACGCUGCCGAAGGUAGGAUUGGCGACUGGGGUGAAGUCGUAACAAGGUACC